UGGCCGAAUCCAAAAUAUCAAUUAAAUCGAUUGCAGAAAGUGCUAAACGCUGCUGCUCGUGUUGUAUGUCUUGUACCUAUUAAGUUUGAUCACAUUACACCUACAUUAAUGAGACUGCAUUGGAGCAUUGGUGACCGGUUAAAUAUCGUGUUAUAUCAGUUCAAGAUCGUACUGUUGGUUUAUAAAGCUCUGCAUGGAUUAACUCUCAAAUAUAUUUGUGACAUGUUGACUUAUAAACAAAGUAAUAACUACUCUUUGAGAUCGGACGAACUACGGCUUCUUCAUGUUCCAAGCACACGUAGAAAAUCUUUUGGUGAUCGUGCCUUUUUGAAAGCAGGACCUAUUCUAUGGAACUUACUACCGUGUGCAUGAGAUUCGGCUUUCACCUUCGUUGGAUUCUUUUAAGACAAAUCUUAUAAGACAUUUUUGUAUAGAGAUGCGUACAUUAAUAAUACUUCUUGUUUUUAAAUAUUUUUAAAUAGAUGCUUAUAGUAGUUAAAUGUUGUGUAAAUAACGUAGGGAAAUUUUUAAAAUUCUAUAGUUUUAGCGCGG